UUCAGAAUGGCACCAUCUCCAGCAUAAAAUCAGGUAGCUCUGCUUUGUUUCCCCUCAUUGAAAUGACCUCGUAAGCAAUCAUCUGCCAGAAGUAGUGUAGGCGAUUCUGAAAUUUGACAGCAGUAAUCUAUGUCAGCAUCACUAGUUGUUCAUGAUUCCUCUUACAACUUGUUUCAAAAAUAGUGCCUCUUACAGCCAUGGAGCAUCAUGAACACUGCACGCACCUUUGUGAGAGGAUUGUAGAUGUACAGGCCCGUGAACUCCCUGAUGUAGUUCACCACAUGCAGGUGGUUGUCAUGGUUGCACAAAUUUUAGUCGAAUCAGUUCAAAAUCUUGUUUUAACAACAUCUGCUAAGUAGUUUUGCAAUUAUCAGAGAAGGGCACACACAUUUUGCUGUUGGGGUGCAUCCCUACAUUGUAGUUCACCCUCCACCCUUGAGCUGGCACAUACCAGCCUGCAAUGUUUUCAUGGAUGCAUCGACGGAGUCCCUCGAUGAUGUGGUUUGCAUUAUCUUCGUGCUUCAGUUUCAUGGCGUCCUCUCCAUUUGAGGUCUCGCACGGGUCCAUAACAAGUAGCGUCUUCUCGUCGACAUCAACAACAUAGAGAGACCACGAAUUGUGGUAUGGCACUGGCAGCAUCAGCUGAAAAUGAUCACCGUAGUCAGCGCUCCGAUUCAGCGCAAACCAAAUAUAAUAUAGUACAAUAUCAGGAUGAUUAAUCGCUAACCUUCUUGGUCCACUGAAGCCUAUAUCCAAGCGCCUCAAAGCUCAUCAUUGUAUUCAUGAAUUCGAAAUCUAGACUGUAUGAGUUGUACAUCAAGGCAAGCUGCAACCACAUAUUUCCAGUUAGCGGGUCAUACAUGUUACUCAAGAGGCACAAGCGCAAAAAUCAUGCCAACUACUCACCACAAAGCGCACAUCAAACACAUGGUGCCACCUGAUCUGCCAUGAACCGUACAUGAGCCCUUCCUUGUAAGUGAUCAUUCGGCUCAAGCAAACCCAACCAGUAACUGUUAGCCUUCCAUUCGGCCCAAAUUCUUUCCGAAAAUCAUCACCACACAUCACAACUAGGUACGGAGCAAGGUGUUUGAACCAUUUCCUGCAAAAUGAGUUCAGCAAGUGGUAAGUACAAGUAAUCCAUGUCGGGAUGGGCGGAUGCACCUUCUUCUAAUGUCUCUCCUUUCGAACUUACUUGUCGAGCUCCUAUCUCGUGCAUGUCAGCAUUUUGUCGAAGAAGUACACCACAUUCUCUGCUGUCGGCUCUUCAUGCUUCAGUCCAGCUUUCCCCGGGAAUUUGUCUCCCAUUCUAUUCUUCACAAAUGUCCUAACCAUACCGACUUGCACCCUUACAGGUCCCGAGCCUCCCAGACUAGGCUCAGCGCCCUGAUUGCUGGCUGCAUCAGCUGAAACACCCGUCCGACAAAGAUGUUAUGCUUCUAGGUUGUCAACGUCAGUUUUGAAUGCAUAAUUUUGUAACCUAUACCUUGAUGGAGAUGUUGCUCGCCCCCUGCCGAUGCAGACCCCACCACGCGAUUAGCUGCUGCUGAUGAUCCGCCAGAUGCAGUAACUGUAUUACAUGAUCAGCCGGUCAGGUCACGCAAAUCCAUGCUGCUAGUGUCAGUCAUAUGAUAUCUUACUUGUUAUUCCAGGGAACACAUAGUCCCUGUUUCUUGACGAGUGAUGACCCCAACUCCAUAGCCUACGCCCCUGGCUGUAUCAUUGGGACGCAUAUGUACCUCACCUGGUUUUUUGGAACAAUCAAUCAUGUUAGACUUUAACUUUCAGGAUGUACACUACGCUACUUACUUAUAGGAUCCACAUUUUGAUUUACCGUGUAAUCCAUCUGGGGGAAUGCUCUGCUCUGCGGCUCCUCCUUGUUGGUCGUCUUGCAUCGCACCCGCAUCAUUGUCAGAGCUAUCUGAUGAAGAUAACCCACUCCCGGAAGGUGUUUUCCGUUUCCUAUUGCGACACUUGUUGCUCCCACGGUGCACACAUCUUUUCUGUCGUUGCCUUGCUGGAGGCACAACCCGAAUUACUGGCUGUUCUGGAGUAGAGCUCACGCACAGCACACCUGGUGUUGCCAUCGCAAAAUGUUUUCUUUUGUUACGAGCAGCACUUAACGAAACAACACAAUGGUUUUACAUCUAUGUGGAUAGCAUUAUGCACCGUUGAUCUCAGCCUGGAACUUGAGACAAUCUGGCACCAUAUCAGCAUUGCUUAGCGUUGCCCUCAUCAGCUCAUCUGGAACAAGAUUUUAUCAUCACGCCGACAUGAUUGUUGUUAGUAGUUAUACGCAAAAAUCAUGUAACAACAAAAUUGUAUCACUGCUUUUCCAAAAUAUACCUAUUUCUGCCUCGAUAGUUUCCAUGGCGCAGUUGCCUGCUUGCGCAUCUGUAACCACAUUAUAAGCUCUAAUUAGUCAGCAAAAGACAAAGCAUUGGAAGGCUCUUUAUCACAACUUCAGAAAUCUAGCAAACUAUACCUCCAGUGUCACGCCCUAAGGCUACAACAGUGCAAUCUUCUGUGUUCUGCCUUGCCUCAAUACCGCUUUCUGGUGUCGAACUGACAACUCGGACAUCUAACAAGGUGGAAUUUCACAAAAUAAUAUGUAUAUGUCAGUACCACUAUUAUACUCACAGGUGCCAUCUAAUUCAUUGGAAUUGUGUUAACUUACUGUUGAUUUCUGUUUCAAACUUUAGACAUGUGUUAGCCCCCCUGUGAUCAACUGCUUCAUCCCUACCGUUGGCAUCUACAUUACCCCAUCACCACUUUCUAUGUACAAUAUUUAUGGAUACGUUUACCCAUAUAUAGCACCGACUCUGACCUGGCUCUGCUGGAGGCUCCACCCGUACUCCAACCAUGCGAGUCGCAGACACACUUGUCACCAAAUCGAUGAUACCCACCUCCAUCUCUGCACCAUUUGCAAAUUGUUAGUUCAUACAUUUUCAUACAUGUUUAUAGCUCAAUUAUUUCUUAUCCCUUGCUAAAAUUCCCUUUUUACACAUAUGAUUCAUUUAUUCCCACUACAAUAUAUUAUCAAGACAAGCAUUUCAUGAUUCUAUUUAUUUUUUCCUUUAUUCAUAUUGCUCACCGUUUGCAUCGUACAAAUUCUGAACAGAUGAAGCAAAUAAUAAAUCAUUUGUCUCCUUUGCCCUGGGAGUGAUAGGGCUCUGUAUUAGGCUUUCAUGGUGUCUGUCUAACAUUUGAUCGUAACCUUCACUUUCUUCAGAUGCAGGGCUCCCACAAUUGUCUUCAUGAUCCACAUCAGUGUUUCCCGCCACACGACUUGUAGUCCUAUGAUCAGGGUCUAUGCUAGCAGGGUAGUGAGCCCCACUGACUCCCUCAGCUGCAAAAUAUAAAAUUACAACUGUUUGUCAACCUGAUGAAAUAUGGGAAUUCAAAUCAAUCUGGGGAAACAUAUGCCACCUUGAAUUGCCGCUGCUGCCUCCACAAAUCUUGCCACCAACAAUGACAUGGAUGCAAUAUCUGGAAUGAAUUCUCUGUGCCAUACAUAAGAAGCUGAAUCUGGUGUUGACUGAAGCAUCCGGAACAGCGUCAUUGGCGAGGCUCCACCCCUGUCUGGUGUGACCAGAUCUAUGAAUGCUUCGAAAGACAUAGCUCUUGUGGGUGCGAAACCUAACGUCCAGAGUGAUUAAAUGCAAUUUACUCAUUAUCUGCUACAUGCAUAUGUUGUAUGUAUUUUGUUUGUGUUUUUUAUACGAAACCUUACAUGCUACUGGAAUUUCUUCAUGCCUGAGCUGAGGAACGAUGAUAGGCUCAUCUAGUUCUAAAUCUUCAGGGUCCACUGCUGGAAGCUGGGCAUUCACCCCAUCCGCCCCUGUCAAUGCACACAGGUUUUCCUCAGUGUUAGCUUCAACAAGAUUUCCACAGGAGGACAUCAG
rnacentral:lncRNA from 1 species